UGCCAGCCGCCGCGGUAAUACGUAGGUGGCGAGCGUUAUCCGGAAUUAUUGGGCGUAAAGAGGGAGCAGGCGGCACUAAGGGUCUGUGGUGAAAGAUCGAAGCUUAACUUCGGUAAGCCAUGGAAACCGUAGAGCUAGAGUGUGUGAGAGGAUCGUGGAAUUCCAUGUGUAGCGGUGAAAUGCGUAGAUAUAUGGAGGAACACCAGUGGCGAAGGCGACGAUCUGGCGCAUAACUGACGCUCAGUCCCGAAAGCGUGGGGAGCAAAUAGGAUUAGAUA
rnacentral:rRNA from 1 species